rnacentral:rRNA from 1 species
UACGGAGGAUCCAAGCGUUAUCCGGAUUUAUUGGGUUUAAAGGGUGCGUAGGUGGGCAGUUAAGUCAGUGGUGAAAUCUCCGGGCUUAACCCGGAAACUGCCAUUGAUACUAUCUGUCUUGAAUAUCGUGGAGGUAAGCGGAAUAUGUCAUGUAGCGGUGAAAUGCUUAGAUAUGACAUAGAACACCAAUUGCGAAGGCAGCUUACUACCCGAAUAUUGACACUGAGGCACGAAAGCGUGGGGAUCAAACAGG